AUAAUAUAGAAAGAGAGAAAUAUAUUGCACGUGUUAUUUCAAUAGAAGUACCUACCGACUUACGUAAAUUGUGAAUGAAAAUUAUCAUAAAAGAUUAUUGGAAGAGUUUAUUUUGUGAGAGGCUUCUUGAAAAAUAUGAAUAAAUUAUAUCAUAAUCGUAUAUAAUACGGGUUAAAAGAGCCAAUAAUUUUCUAAAUAUCGAGUUUAGCCCACCUUAAUGGAUCAUACUGUAUCACACUGUUUUCCCUGUGUGUGGAAAAUAUUCCUUUUGUUAAUAAACUUGAAAACUAAUUAAGUAAUAUCCUUUUAUCGAAACCUACACAGAGUGGUUUCAACACAUUUUAGGUAGGUGUAUACCGGAGGUUAGGCGUUAGGCGAUAUAAAUCCGGAAGUGACUCAGGGGCAUUGUGUGCUUGCGAAUUAAGAGGAAUUUACGGUAUUCCGGGUUCUUUUUUUAUGCGAUUAGCCCGCUUUAUUAUUUAACUUUUUAAAUUUUACUGUUUUUUCUCCUCGAAAAGCUCGAAAAAGCCUACUAAUUUAUUCGUAAUCGCGAUCGCACAAUUAAGUGGAUUUCCUUUUUUUUCGCCAACACAUUGGAUUUAGGA